rnacentral:rRNA from 1 species
CCUCUUCCGUAGGGGAACCUGCGGAAGGAUCAUUA